CUUGACGUCCGGAGCCCCUGGAGUAGGCGCUUCCGGCCAUUCAUACUGCAGUCGGUCAGUGUUCGGUUGAAGGAUUCUGUGUGCUGUCGGACCCAGAGGGUGACGGCGCCGCUAGGAUGAAGCUCGUGAGAUUUUUGAUGAAAUUGAGUCAUGAAACUGUAACCAUUGAAUUGAAGAACGGAACACAGGUCCAUGGAACAAUCACAGUUUACCUCUGGAUACACUACUUGUGGAUGUUGAACCUAAGGUGAAAUCUAAGAAAAGGGAAGCUGUUGCAGGAAGAGGCAGAGGAAGAGGAAGAGGAAGAGGACGUGGCCGUG
rnacentral:lncRNA from 10 species